AUGACCAUAUCAUGUUGAAACACCUGUUUCCAUACAAUCACCAAAGUUAAUCAAAGUCAUGCCUGGUCAGUACUUGGAUGGGUGACCACCACUUGUGAAUACCAGAUGACUGUAA